ACACAUGCAAGUCGAACGGAAAGGCCCUGCUUGCAGGGUGCUCGAGUGGCGAACGGGUGAGUAACACGUGGGUGAUCUGCCCCUUACUUUGGGAUAAGCCUGGGAAACUGGGUCUAAUACUGGAUAGGACCAUGCUGUAGGUGGUGUGGUGGAAAGAUUAGUUUCGGUAAGGGAUGAGCUCGCGGCCUAUCAGCUUGUUGGUGGGGUAAUGGCCUACCAAGGCGUCGACGGGUAGCCGGCCUGAGAGGGUGGACGGCCACAUUGGGACUGAGAUACGGCCCAGACUCCUACGGGAGGCAGCAGUGGGGAAUAUUGCACAAUGGGCGCAAGCCUGAUGCAGCGACGCCGCGUGGGGGAUGACGGCCUUCGGGUUGUAAACUCCUUUCAGCCAUGACGAAGCCUUCGGGUGACGGUAGUGGUAGAAGAAGCACCGGCUAACUACGUGCCAGCAGCCGCGGUAAUACGUAGGGUGCGAGCGUUGUCCGGAAUUACUGGGCGUAAAGAGCUCGUAGGUGGUCUGUCGCGUCAUUUGUGAAAGCCCGGGGCUUAACUCCGGGUUGGCAGGUGAUACGGGCAUGACUGGAGUACUGUAGGGGAGACUGGAAUUCCUGGUGUAGCGGUGAAAUGCGCAGAUAUCAGGAGGAACACCGGUGGCGAAGGCGGGUCUCUGGGCAGUAACUGACGCUGAGGAGCGAAAGCAUG
rnacentral:rRNA from 1 species